UGUCCUCAGAACUACGGCAUUCGUGCAUCAUAUUAGCCAUAAAUUACACAAAGCAGCUUGCCAAGAACUUCUGACUGCACUUCUCUUGGGUCUCUGUAUUACAAUUGCACCUUGCAACCUGUAUUGCCAUACACUAUUCUACAUUCCUGUUUUUCAGCCUUUCUGUUGCCUGCAUCCUCUUCAGCUGAAAUCCUGGGUUCUCCUGCAGAUCAGGCAGGUGUCAAUGCAAGCUCAUGCCAGCCACACACACUGCCAGAAGGAGCAAUAGCACGAUGCGAUCAAUAGGAUGAUGUGACCUAUAGCACGUUCCUACUCCUGCUGAAGCCGGUGGAAAGAUUUCUGUUGCUGACAGCAGGUGUCAGACUGACAUUCAAGUCACACCAUGGAGUCAUCCUGUUGCAGAGCAGCAUUGUGUUGUGACAAACUCGAUAGGGAAAAAUGCACAUCCUCCAUCUAUCAUGAGCUCAGCAAAGGAAAUGACACACGU